CAUACCACAACAAAAGAUCCUACAUGCCACAACGAAGAGCCUGCCUGCUGCAACUCUUCUGGACCAGCUUCUGGACCAGGCUGCCAGCACCACCUCUCAUUGAAGCCACCCAAAUCAGCACCCCCAAGGGGGCACCACCUGACCCUUCUAAGCCACCAGCACCCUGUUCCUCACCCACUCUGGGUUCAGUUUGGUUGGAGCACCUCGGAGUACCCGGGCCUGCCCACGGCUUUGGCAGCACAGCAGGAAACCUGUGGGACUAGGGUGACCCUGUGGGCGGGACUGUGUUCGAGAGACUCAGACCACCCACCCCUCCUCCUGCUGCAGGCAGGUGCAGAGCACAGAUGGAUGAGUUCCUGAAAUAUACAGCCAGCUGUACAGUGAAGCCCUGUAAACUGUUGCGGUGCAGCUGCGGUUUACGUGAUGUUCCUCAACAGCGCUGGCCACACUUAAUGGCCGUGAGGCCACACCGGGGCAAGGGCAAGUGCCCAUGUGAGGAGCUCUACGUGUGUGCUGGGACCUGCACCUGGGCCGCUGCAUCCCCCCCAUCUGUGUCAGGCUCUCCAGGGCUGCUUCUUAACAAGGAGCUCAUUACCCAGGACAGAGUGGAGGCCAUUUCCAGGUAACCCUGGCUGUUUUUCUUUAUUUUGAGGUUCCACUCUGCUUCCCCUGUGCCUGAGUUCUGCCCUCUAAGGCCCCAGAGACCUUGUCACAUGCUCGUGACCCCUCCAUGUAGCACAGAGAAGGCACUUUGUGGGAGGAACAUGGGGUCAGGAGGCCUCAGGUAGCCACAGCCUGUACCAGGGGUGCAGUGUCUCGGAGACCCCUCCAAGGUCUGCAUCUGCUUCUUCACGCAGGAGCAGAUGCAAGCCCUUGCCCACUGCUGCUGGGUGGGAUCCAUCAUGGGGCCUCUGUGCCACCCCCAGGUCACCGGCAGGGACCUCGGAACAGACCACCACACCUGUCCCUGGACUCUGAUCUCCCCCCUCAGUGUGGGCAACACCUGCCAACAAUCAAGGGUGCCCACCCUGACCCCUGCCGGAGGGUCUCCCAGGCUCCUGAGUUUUCUCUCUUGCUCUGGUGAAGAGGAUGCCUGUGGCCAACUUCUUAAGAAGCUUCUCGGACAGGAGGGUAUUCAGAGUCCUGCCUGGGCAGAAGCUCAGUGGGCAGGUGCUGGGGGAAGAGAUGAGGCCAGGCUGGGCCGGGAGGGGCUGCGCUGGUGCGGUCCCUGCGGGCAGUCCUCAAACACUGACACGUGAGUGUGUCGGAGGACACACCAAAGCCCUGCUCGCAGGGAGCUCACAUUCGGCAGGAAGUCCAACAUAUAAACGGUCACUGCUGGGCCAGCCUGGACUCCCUGCACAGCCUGGGAGCCUCUCAGAGCUGGGCCUGGGGGCAGUGACUUCCGCCCCCAACCAGCACCUCAGCUCCAGCUUCCCUCGGCCUCGAGGGUCCCUGCCUGGAUGUCCUCUCUUCUCCAACUUGCACCAGUGGCCUGGCAGAGAGGCCGCCUGAGCUCACUCUUCCACAGCCCCUCCUGCUGCCCCCAGGGUCCCUGACUGGUGCCCUGUGGCUGAGGACGGCACAGUGGCGUCUCUGGGGGCCCUGGAGGACUCUAUUCCUUCCCUUUGCUUGGCCGCACUUUAGGGGGGAGCCCUCCAGCUUCUGCAUCCUGAGACCAUUUAUAGAGGAAGCAUGUAGGGUAUGCCGGGCCCCCUCACUGUACGGCCCAGGGACCCUGCAGCCACAUUUCAGCCUGACUGCUCUGCUCCAAGCCAAAGGGGACCCCACAGGUUUUGAGGCCCUCUCUCACUUUCAGAUGGGGAAACCAAGGUCACGAUAAGGGCAGAGGGGGCUAUGUCACACAGUGGCCAGCCAGGAGGACCCAAGUCUCAGGCCACUGCAGGGUCUGCUCUCUCCACCGCCUACUUCAGCCUCCCCAGCACAGCUCACGCCCAGGCAGGGCCACAGCACCGAGCAGGCUGCCCUGAGGCAGAGCCUGCUCUCUGCCCCCAGUGAUGCCAGUAAGGGGGUAUUUUCACUCCUAGGGAGGGACCAGGCAUGCAGAGCCAGUGGCAGCCAAGAGUCCCACCCAUGUGAGCAGACAACAGCUUCCUCUGUGCUGACGUCAGUGUACCCAGUGCACCCCGUGGUGUGUCGAGCACAUGUGUGUCACUGCUCGUGUCUGGGGUCACUGCAUCUGUCUGAGAAGGUGUGUAUAUGUCAGCAUGUGUAACAUAGCCUGUGAGUAUCAUGGCAUAUGUAACCGACAAUGUGUGCCCUGUGGGUGCCCCAAGUCUGGACACUAGGCCCCAACUCUUUGCUUCUGUAAACGGCGUAAGUUAAGGUCAGUGGACAGACCAGCCUCAGAAGCACCUCAUUUCCUGAGGGAGAGGUGGCAUGGCCUGCAGCCAGCUCACAGUUGGCCAAAAGCAAGGCAUGUCCCAGCAGGGCAGCCCGUCCUGUGUCUGACCUGGAGCCAAGAACAGACACAUUCCUGGAGGCUCUGACCACUCUCGCAGGGGUGUCUGAUGGAGCCCCAGCUAAAGUGCCACAAACCUCUGACCUCCCAGGCUAACCCUUCCUGGUGGAACAGUGCUACACACAAGACCCUUGCACCACACAAGCUGUCUUGGACAUGACAACUCUAUCGAUCUGGCAUUCACGCUGCAGGCCCGUGUGUCUAUGUGUGUUUUGUGCACAGGUCUUGGUGGUGUCUUCGAUCUUGGCUGCCGUGUUAAGUUAGCACACGCACUGUCUGUGCAUGUUUGUGGCUAGGAUGUCAGCAGUGCCUCUGCACCUGUCCUGUGCGAGCAGCUUUGGGAGCUGCUGUGCAUGUGUGUGGGUGUGAGCACACGUGUGGGCUGCUGUCUGUGUGCUUUGAGAAGGCAUGCAUGUGUUGGUUGCCGUGGGUGCUGUGUGGGCAUGUGUGUGUGCACUGUGCCCACACCUGUGGGGCCCCUGUGAUCCGUCCCUGCAUGCCUUCCUGUGUCUGGGCAGGUCUCGGCCUGCGCACUCCCAGCCUUUCAGGCACCCGGGCUGAGCACAGGAAAACGGAGGCUGAGCGGGGCAGGCCCGGCCCUGCAACUGUGAUCUCAGGGACACACUGCCUUCCUCUGCAUCUCUCUCUUCUUCCAACCUCACCUCUGGGUUUCUCUUCCUGGGGUUUUACCACAUCUGGUGCUCAAUAAAUGAUUGAUUGGUGAACGAAUGGAUGAGAAGGGGGCUCCAAGGGUGCGGUCUGGCGAGGAGGUAGGCGGGCACUCCAGGAUGGGUGGGACCACCAGCUCUGGGCAGGCCGGGCAGCUCCAGAGGGGCGGUCAAGGCUGGCCGAGCCUGUGUUGGGGGCAGCAGGGUCUGUGGGCCGCCCCCGUGCUCCCCGGGGACGUCUCGGGUCACCGUCUGCACCGCCGGCCGCGCCGCCCCGCGGGUUAUUUAUGACCCCCUCUCCCUCCCUGGCGGCGGCUGCGGCGGCGGCGGCGGCGGCGGCAGCCGGGGCGGCGGAGGGCCCCGCGCGGGGGGGACCGCGAGCAGCGAUGGCGCCGCGGAGGCCGGCGGGCGGCCAGGGGCGGAGCUCCGCCGGCCGGAGGAGGGGCUGCAGCCACCGACCCGACCUGUGUUCUCCGCGGGGCCGCCGGGCCUGAGGGCCAAGCAGCGGUGAUCCCAGCGCCAAAAUUCUGUCCCUCUUCCCUCUGGUUCCAGUCUGCGGAGUACAGAGGAACGUGCGGGCUCAGGUGCCAGACCUGGACAGGCGGGAGGA